UACGAGGGGGGCGAGCGUUAUUCGGAAUUAUUGGGCGUAAAGGGCGCGUAGGCGGUCGGAUAAGUCUUGUGUGAAAUCUUCGGGCUCAACUCGAAGUCUGCACAGGAAACUAUCUGGCUUGAGUGUGGGAGAGGUGAGUGGAAUUCCUGGUGUAGCGGUGAAAUGCGUAGAUAUCAGGAGGAACACCUGUGGCGAAAGCGGCUCACUGGACCACAACUGACGCUGAGGCGCGAAAAGCUAGGGGAGCAAACAGG
rnacentral:rRNA from 1 species